AUGAGGCGAACCGGGGGAACUGAAACAUCUAAGUACCCCGAGGAAAAGAAAUCAACCGAGAUUCCCCCAGUAGCGGCGAGCGAACGGGGAGGAGCCCAGAGCCUGAAUCAGUGUGUGUGUUAGUGGAAGCGUCUGGAAAGGCGCGCGAUACAGGGUGACAGCCCCGUACACAAAAAUGCACAUGCUGUGAGCUCGAUGAGUAGGGCGGGACACGUGGUAUCCUGUCUGAAUAUGGGGGGACCAUCCUCCAAGGCUAAAUACUCCUGACUGACCGAUAGUGAACCAGUACCGUGAGGGAAAGGCGAAAAGAACCCCGGCGAGGGGAGUGAAAAAGAACCUGAAACCGUGUACGUACAAGCAGUGGGAGCACAGAGCAAUCUGUGUGACUGCGUACCUUUUGUAUAAUGGGUCAGCGACUUAUAUUCUGUAGCAAGGUUAACCGAAUAGGGGAGCCGAAGGGAAACCGAGUCUUAACUGGGCGUUAAGUUGCAGGGUAUAGACCCGAAACCCGGUGAUCUAGCCAUGGGCAGGUUGAAGGUUGGGUAACACUAACUGGAGGACCGAACCGACUAAUGUUGAAAAAUUAGCGGAUGACUUGUGGCUGGGGGUGAAAGGCCAAUCAAACCGGGAGAUAGCUGGUUCUCCCCGAAAGCUAUUUAGGUAGCGCCUCGUGAAUUCAUCUCCGGGGGUAGAGCACUGUUUCGGCAAGGGGGUCAUCCCGACUUACCAACCCGAUGCAAACUGCGAAUACCGGAGAAUGUUAUCACGGGAGACACACGGCGGGUGCUAACGUCCGUCGUGAAGAGGGAAACAACCCAGACCGCCAGCUAAGGUCCCAAAGUCAUGGUUAAGUGGGAAACGAUGUGGGAAGGCCCAGACAGCCAGGAUGUUGGCUUAGAAGCAGCCAUCAUUUAAAGAAAGCGUAAUAGCUCACUGGUCGAGUCGGCCUGCGCGGAAGAUGUAACGGGGCUAAACCAUGCACCGAAGCUGCGGCAGCGACGCUGAUGCGUUGUUGGGUAGGGGAGCGUUCUGUAAGCCUGUGAAGGUGUGCUGUGAGGCAUGCUGGAGGUAUCAGAAGUGCGAAUGCUGACAUAAGUAACGAUAAAGCGGGUGAAAAGCCCGCUCGCCGGAAGACCAAGGGUUCCUGUCCAACGUUAAUCGGGGCAGGGUGAGUCGACCCCUAAGGCGAGGCCGAAAGGCGUAGUCGAUGGGAAACAGGUUAAUAUUCCUGUACUUGGUGUUACUGCGAAGGGGGGACGGAGAAGGCUAUGUUGGCCGGGCGACGGUUGUCCCGGUUUAAGCGUGUAGGCUGGUUUUCCAGGCAAAUCCGGAAAACUAAGGCUGAGGCGUGAUGACGAGGCACUACGGUGCUGAAGCAACAAAUGCCCUGCUUCCAGGAAAAGCCUCUAAGCAUCAGGUAACAUCAAAUCGUACCCCAAACCGACACAGGUGGUCAGGUAGAGAAUACCAAGGCGCUUGAGAGAACUCGGGUGAAGGAACUAGGCAAAAUGGUGCCGUAACUUCGGGAGAAGGCACGCUGAUAUGUAGGUGAAGUCCCUCGCGGAUGGAGCUGAAAUCAGUCGAAGAUACCAGCUGGCUGCAACUGUUUAUUAAAAACACAGCACUGUGCAAACACGAAAGUGGACGUAUACGGUGUGACGCCUGCCCGGUGCCGGAAGGUUAAUUGAUGGGGUCAGCGCAAGCGAAGCUCUUGAUCGAAGCCCCGGUAAACGGCGGCCGUAACUAUAACGGUCCUAAGGUAGCGAAAUUCCUUGUCGGGUAAGUUCCGACCUGCACGAAUGGCGUAAUGAUGGCCAGGCUGUCUCCACCCGAGACUCAGUGAAAUUGAACUCGCUGUGAAGAUGCAGUGUACCCGCGGCAAGACGGAAAGACCCCGUGAACCUUUACUAUAGCUUGACACUGAACAUUGAGCCUUGAUGUGUAGGAUAGGUGGGAGGCUUUGAAGUGUGGACGCCAGUCUGCAUGGAGCCGACCUUGAAAUACCACCCUUUAAUGUUUGAUGUUCUAACGUUGACCCGUAAUCCGGGUUGCGGACAGUGUCUGGUGGGUAGUUUGACUGGGGCGGUCUCCUCCUAAAGAGUAACGGAGGAGCACGAAGGUUGGCUAAUCCUGGUCGGACAUCAGGAGGUUAGUGCAAUGGCAUAAGCCAGCUUGACUGCGAGCGUGACGGCGCGAGCAGGUGCGAAAGCAGGUCAUAGUGAUCCGGUGGUUCUGAAUGGAAGGGCCAUCGCUCAACGGAUAAAAGGUACUCCGGGGAUAACAGGCUGAUACCGCCCAAGAGUUCAUAUCGACGGCGGUGUUUGGCACCUCGAUGUCGGCUCAUCACAUCCUGGGGCUGAAGUAGGUCCCAAGGGUAUGGCUGUUCGCCAUUUAAAGUGGUACGCGAGCUGGGUUUAGAACGUCGUGAGACAGUUCGGUCCCUAUCUGCCGUGGGCGCUGGAGAACUGAGGGGGGCUGCUCCUAGUACGAGAGGACCGGAGUGGACGCAUCACUGGUGUUCGGGUUGUCAUGCCAAUGGCACUGCCCGGUAGCUAAAUGCGGAAGAGAUAAGUGCUGAAAGCAUCUAAGCACGAAACUUGCCCCGAGAUGAGUUCUCCCUGACUCCUUGAGAGUCCUGAAGGAACGUUGAAG
rnacentral:rRNA from 1 species